UACGUAGGGCGCAAGCGUUGUCCGGAAUUAUUGGGCGUAAAGAGCUCGUAGGCGGCUUGUCACGUCGAUUGUGAAAGCCCGAGGCUUAACCUCGGGUCUGCAGCUCGAUACGGGCUAGCUAGAGUGUGGUAGGGGGAGAUCGGAAUUCCUGGUGUAGCGGUGAAAUGCGCAGAUAUCAGGAGGAACACCGGUGGCGAAGGCGGAUCUCUGGGCCAUUACUGACGCUGAGGAGCGAAAGCGUGGGGAGCGAACAGG
rnacentral:rRNA from 1 species